CUUGGACAUCCUCUCCUUUGGAGUUUUUAGUGAGCCCUGAUCCUCGGAAGGGGACAUUAUCCAGCGUUUAACCAAGAAGUCUAGAAAAAGCUUACACUUGUUUUUGGACCUUGGUCAAAUCUGACUGUGUUCUGAUAAGGAAGAUUUAAAACAGCAGUGAACCACUACCACAAGGAGAUUGCCACAUCAGAUUAUGGGAGUUUGCUUCAUUUCCAGGCAGCUCUAUUUAAUAUACAUCUGCUAUGUAAUACAUGCAAAAAAGCAAAAAGAUUUUCAGUUGCAUUAGUCUUUAUUGGAUCUGACCUCUGGUCUAGGAGGUGAAGGGAGAGUGGAAAAUGAAAACUGAUUUGGUAUUAGUCCACUAUUCAUAUUAGAAAAAGUAAAUGCUUUUGUGGUUUUCCUUACAGAGGUGUCUUUAUUCAUUUGACAUGCCCUUAAUAACUAAUUCUAGUUGUCUGGUUGCCAAGAUGGAUUUCCUACAGGCGGACUUAAAAGUGAUUUUGUCCUCUUUGAAUGUAUGGCUUCAAAUGAUCCCAGAACAGCAAACAUUAAACUUCCUCCUAGACCUCGAGCUUUUCUGAAGCACUAUAAUAAUAUAAAAGGAUAAGAAUAAUAAAAAAAAUAAAUAAAUGAAUUAAGCAUGCAUCAUACGAUAUAAGCAGGACAAUAAAACUCCUUGUUUUUCUCUGCUAGUUAAUAUCUCCUUUCUAGCACUGAACAUACACUGUGGAUUUCUCACUAUAGCCAUCUAAUGGAUUUGGAUAUUGCCAUUCAGAGACCCCUGGGGAUGAGAAUGUUUUGUAGGUUUCAUCUGAAAGUGAGGAACCAACAGACCCCCAAACCUUUCUGUUCACAAAUGGCUUUGUCCAUGUGUUUUUGUCACAUACGUAUCUGAUAUAUGCUAGCUUGCACAGUACAAAUCUGC